rnacentral:rRNA from 1 species
GGUUAAGCGACUAAGCGUACACGGUGGAUGCCCUGGCAGUCAGAGGCGAUGAAGGACGUGCUAAUCUGCGAUAAGCGUCGGUAAGGUGAUAUGAACCGUUAUAACCGGCGAUUUCCGAAUGGGGAAACCCAGUGUGAUUCGUCACACUAUCAUUAACUGAAUCCAUAGGUUAAUGAGGCGAACCGGGGGAACUGAAACAUCUAAGUACCCCGAGGAAAAGAAAUCAACCGAGAUUCCCCCAGUAGCGGCGAGCGAACGGGGAGCAGCCCAGAGCCUGAAUCAGUGUGUGUGUUAGUGGAAGCGUCUGGAAAGGCGCGCGAUACAGGGUGACAGCCCCGUACACAAAAAUGCACAUGCUGUGAGCUCGAUGAGUAGGGCGGGACACGUGGUAUCCUGUCUGAAUAUGGGGGGACCAUCCUCCAAGGCUAAAUACUCCUGACUGACCGAUAGUGAACCAGUACCGUGAGGGAAAGGCGAAAAGAACCCCGGCGAGGGGAGUGAAAAAGAACCUGAAACCGUGUACGUACAAGCAGUGGGAGCACGCUUCGGCGUGUGACUGCGUACCUUUUGUAUAAUGGGUCAGCGACUUAUAUUCUGUAGCAAGGUUAACCGAAUAGGGGAGCCGAAGGGAAACCGAGUCUUAACUGGGCGUUAAGUUGCAGGGUAUAGACCCGAAACCCGGUGAUCUAGCCAUGGGCAGGUUGAAGGUUGGGUAACACUAACUGGAGGACCGAACCGACUAAUGUUGAAAAAUUAGCGGAUGACUUGUGGCUGGGGGUGAAAGGCCAAUCAAACCGGGAGAUAGCUGGUUCUCCCCGAAAGCUAUUUAGGUAGCGCCUCGUGAAUUCAUCUCCGGGGGUAGAGCACUGUUUCGGCAAGGGGGUCAUCCCGACUUACCAACCCGAUGCAAACUGCGAAUACCGGAGAAUGUUAUCACGGGAGACACACGGCGGGUGCUAACGUCCGUCGUGAAGAGGGAAACAACCCAGACCGCCAGCUAAGGUCCCAAAGUCAUGGUUAAGUGGGAAACGAUGUGGGAAGGCCCAGACAGCCAGGAUGUUGGCUUAGAAGCAGCCAUCAUUUAAAGAAAGCGUAAUAGCUCACUGGUCGAGUCGGCCUGCGCGGAAGAUGUAACGGGGCUAAACCAUGCACCGAAGCUGCGGCAGCGACGCUGAUGCGUUGUUGGGUAGGGGAGCGUUCUGUAAGCCUGUGAAGGUGUGCUGUGAGGCAUGCUGGAGGUAUCAGAAGUGCGAAUGCUGACAUAAGUAACGAUAAAGCGGGUGAAAAGCCCGCUCGCCGGAAGACCAAGGGUUCCUGUCCAACGUUAAUCGGGGCAGGGUGAGUCGACCCCUAAGGCGAGGCCGAAAGGCGUAGUCGAUGGGAAACAGGUUAAUAUUCCUGUACUUGGUGUUACUGCGAAGGGGGGACGGAGAAGGCUAUGUUGGCCGGGCGACGGUUGUCCCGGUUUAAGCGUGUAGGCUGGUUUUCCAGGCAAAUCCGGAAAAUCAAGGCUGAGGCGUGAUGACGAGGCACUACGGUGCUGAAGCAACAAAUGCCCUGCUUCCAGGAAAAGCCUCUAAGCAUCAGGUAACAUCAAAUCGUACCCCAAACCGACACAGGUGGUCAGGUAGAGAAUACCAAGGCGCUUGAGAGAACUCGGGUGAAGGAACUAGGCAAAAUGGUGCCGUAACUUCGGGAGAAGGCACGCUGAUAUGUAGGUGAAGUCCCUUGCGGAUGGAGCUGAAAUCAGUCGAAGAUACCAGCUGGCUGCAACUGUUUAUUAAAAACACAGCACUGUGCAAACACGAAAGUGGACGUAUACGGUGUGACGCCUGCCCGGUGCCGGAAGGUUAAUUGAUGGGGUCAGCGCAAGCGAAGCUCUUGAUCGAAGCCCCGGUAAACGGCGGCCGUAACUAUAACGGUCCUAAGGUAGCGAAAUUCCUUGUCGGGUAAGUUCCGACCUGCACGAAUGGCGUAAUGAUGGCCAGGCUGUCUCCACCCGAGACUCAGUGAAAUUGAACUCGCUGUGAAGAUGCAGUGUACCCGCGGCAAGACGGAAAGACCCCGUGAACCUUUACUAUAGCUUGACACUGAACAUUGAGCCUUGAUGUGUAGGAUAGGUGGGAGGCUUAGAAGUGUGGACGCCAGUCUGCAUGGAGCCGACCUUGAAAUACCACCCUUUAAUGUUUGAUGUUCUAACGUUGACCCGUAAUCCGGGUUGCGGACAGUGUCUGGUGGGUAGUUUGACUGGGGCGGUCUCCUCCUAAAGAGUAACGGAGGAGCACGAAGGUUGGCUAAUCCUGGUCGGACAUCAGGAGGUUAGUGCAAUGGCAUAAGCCAGCUUGACUGCGAGCGUGACGGCGCGAGCAGGUGCGAAAGCAGGUCAUAGUGAUCCGGUGGUUCUGAAUGGAAGGGCCAUCGCUCAACGGAUAAAAGGUACUCCGGGGAUAACAGGCUGAUACCGCCCAAGAGUUCAUAUCGACGGCGGUGUUUGGCACCUCGAUGUCGGCUCAUCACAUCCUGGGGCUGAAGUAGGUCCCAAGGGUAUGGCUGUUCGCCAUUUAAAGUGGUACGCGAGCUGGGUUUAGAACGUCGUGAGACAGUUCGGUCCCUAUCUGCCGUGGGCGCUGGAGAACUGAGGGGGGCUGCUCCUAGUACGAGAGGACCGGAGUGGACGCAUCACUGGUGUUCGGGUUGUCAUGCCAAUGGCACUGCCCGGUAGCUAAAUGCGGAAGAGAUAAGUGCUGAAAGCAUCUAAGCACGAAACUUGCCCCGAGAUGAGUUCUCCCUGACUCCUUGAGAGUCCUGAAGGAACGUUGAAGACGACGACGUUGAUAGGCCGGGUGUGUAAGCGCAGCGAUGCGUUGAGCUAACCGGUACUAAUGAACCGUGAGGCUUAACCUUACAACGCCGAAG